rfam:TPA: Bos taurus chromosome 20, whole genome shotgun sequence.
UCCCUGGUGGUCCAGUGGUUGGAACUCUGUGCUUUCACUGCUGGGGCCCAGGUUCGAUCCCUGGUCAGGGAA